UUCUCUUUUCUUCUCCUUUCUUCUCCUUUCUCACGCACCCACCAGCCUCCCUCUUCCUUUCUUUCUUCUACCCAUUUCUCCUACUUCUUCUGUGCACCAGCCCAUGAGAGAUUGUGAGGGAAAGAGAGACUGAGAGACCGAGAGCGAGCCGGGAGCCGAAACCCGCGACCCGUCGUGCAGUGCACAGAGCCGACGAAUGGCGGUUCCAAUGGCGACUCCGGCGAACCAAAGCCGAAAUCCGACGAUUUGAUGGUGAUUUCCGACGAUCCCAUGGCGAAACCCAUAACCCGAGCGACUCGAUCCACGAAGACCCGUUGAACCCGAGAGAGAGACCCGUGACCCGAACGACCCAAAGACCCGAUUCUCUAUGGGCGUUUUCUGGCGGCUCAGUGAGGGAUUUCCGGCAAUUUUGGGAUGAUUUCCGGCAUCUAGGCAGUGGAUCCUUCCUUCUUGAUUUCCGGAUCAUGUUCGGAUUGGGGACUUUAAUUGGUUCUCCAAUGUAGAGUCCAAGUGACUAGAGUCCAAGGAGUGUUCGAGUUGGAGUCCAAUGCAGCCAAGAUGAUGUUUCUUUGGCUGCAGGUACUUCGGUAUGGUCGAUGGGUCGGUAGCAGUGUGCUUGGGAUAUUAUGACUGAAGCUCGCCGCGACAGUCGUAAUUGUCGGACCACGGGUUGUCCACUAUUUUAUAGGUUUGGUAUGGCUUGUGACGUUUGUGUCACUUAUUCUUUGUUAAGCCAUUAUUGUUAUAGUGUUAAUAAGACUCAAACAGAUAGAUGUUAAAUGGCUCUUUGUUGUAAUUAAUUUGUGAUAGAUGUAUAAGUUGUAAUUUUCGCUAUUCAGAUUUA